rnacentral:rRNA from 1 species
AGCAAUACAUGGGUGGCGAGUGGCGCACGGGUGCGUAACACGUAUGCAAUUUGCCCAUAACUGGGGGAUAGCCCUCCGAAAGGAGGAUUAAUACCCCAUAACCCAGCGAGGUGGCAUCACUUUUCUGGUAAAUCUCCGGAGGUUAUGGAUGAGCAUGCGUCCGAUUAGCUAGUUGGUGAGGUAACGGCUCACCAAGGCAACGAUCGGUAGGGGGUCUGAGAGGAUGAUCCCCCACACGGGUACUGAGACACGGACCCGACUCCUACGGGAGGCAGCAGUAAGGAAUAUUGGACAAUGGAGGCAACUCUGAUCCAGCCAUGCCGCGUGAAGGAUGAAGGCCCUACGGGUUGUAAACUUCUUUUCUCUUAGAAAAAACUACUGGUUUCGUACCGGUACUGAUUGUACAUGAGGAAUAAGCAUCGGCUAACUUCGUGCCAGCAGCCGCGGUAAUACGAAGGAUGCAAGCGUUAUCCGGAUUCACUGGGUUUAAAGGGUGUGCAGGUGGGGUAAUAAGUCAGUGGUGAAAGCCCCCGACUCAAUCGGGGAACUGCCAUAGAUACUGUUAUUCUUGAGUGUGGUUGAGGCGGAUGGAAUAUGACAUGUAGCGGUGAAAUGCUUAGAUAUGUCAUAGAACACCGAUCGCGAAGGCAGUCCGCCAAACCAUUACUGACACUGAAA